UCGGCUGCCCAGGCUGGAGUACAGUGAUGUGAUCUCCUGACGUGAAGUGAUCCAUUCGCCUCGGCCUCCCAAAGUUCUGGGAUUACAAGUGUGAGCCACUGCCACUGGCUGAAAAAGUCUUAUUGUGGCAUAAUUGAAUACAAAAUACAGUUAAAAUAAAAUGUCAACCUCCUGGAGUGAUCGGUUACAGAAUGCAGCAGAUAUGCCUGCUAACAUGGAUAAGCAUGCCCUGAAAAAGUAUCGUCGAGAAGCCUAUCAUCGAGACAAAGUCUUGCUAUGUUACCCAGGUUGAUCUUGAACUCUUGUUCUCAAGUGAUCCUCCUGCCUUGUCCUUCCAAAGUGCUGGGAUUACAAGUGUGAACCACCAUGCCCAGUGUUUAAAAUAAAGUAUAUGUGUGCUUUUAGAACAAUAAAAACAUUAUAUAUA
rnacentral:sRNA from 1 species